rnacentral:rRNA from 1 species
UACGUAGGGCGCAAGCGUUGUCCGGAAUUAUUGGGCGUAAAGAGCUCGUAGGCGGUUUGUCGCGUCUGCUGUGAAAUCCCGAGGCUCAACCUCGGGCUUGCAGUGGGUACGGGCAGACUAGAGUGCGGUAGGGGAGACUGGAACUCCCGGUGGAGCGGUGAAAUGCGUUGAGAUCGGGAGGAACGCCCGUGGCGAAAGCGAGGUCCUGGACGCCGCCUGACGCUGAGACGCGAAAGCCAGGGGAGCGAACGGG